CAGUUUACAUUCAACACUUAUGGCACCUCUUCGAUCUGAAGGCAUAGACGCUUUGGCGUCGUCAUAUAUAGAAAGAGCAUAUCUAAGAAUGCGCAAUUCUGAAGACAGUGACCCUUUCCCGGUUUUCCGAGAAAAAACACGUCUAAUAAUACCUCAUUAUACUGGAGUCGUCGUAAACCCUUUCCCUUCCGAACCAUUUCUAGAAAGAGGGCCUAAGGCGAUAGUCUCAUUAGUCUUGUCUUAAUCACAACCCUAAUGCGAUGUGAGCAUCCACAAGCACCAAGACACACAAUACAGAACAAAGAAGACAAUCCUGCAAACAAAAGUUUAGAAUAAAAGUGCUUUAGUCACAAAAAGGAUUUUUAUAUGAGUAAUAAUAUUUUUCAAUAAAAAUAUUUACACAUUUGAU